GGCAAAUAUGAUCUGGACCACUUUUUCUGACUAACACCCAGCUUGCUUUCCUCUGUGUCUCCAACCCUGACGGCAUAUUUGAAUUAAAAGACUGGGGCCCAGUCCCCAACUUGAGAGGUUCUGCGUCAACGUGUGGGGUGGCAGGCCAGCCUCGGCAGUUUUCACAAGCUUGCCGCCGUGCCCAUGGGCAGCCGGAGGUCAGACUGUUACAGUAGAAUUUGGACUCAUUCUGCUCAUUUUGGAGAUGGUUACAAGUGCUCGGACUGGUGCCAUGUUAUGCAUUUGGAAGAAUGAUUGCAUUAUAAAACCCAUUCCAAGCUUCCCACUGUUUCAGCAAUGGAAAUAGUGAAGAAUGUUUGGACUGAUUUAAAAUGUGAAGAUCUAAUUCCAGUAUUGUAGAAGCUUUCUGCCACUCAAACAUUCCCCCAAAUAAGUCUCAGUUGUGUGCCU
rnacentral:lncRNA from 10 species